GUUUGAUCCUGGCUCGAAUGAACGCUGGCGGCAGGCCUAACACAUGCAAGUCGAACGGAGUUAUAUUGUAGCUUGCUAUGGUAUAACUUAGUGGCAGACGGGUGAGUAAUGUAUAGGAAUCUACCUAGUAGUACGGAAUAAUUGUUGGAAACGGCAACUAAUACCGUAUACGCCCUACGGGGGAAAAAUUUAUUGCUAUUAGAUGAGCCUAUAUUAGAUUAGCUAGUUGGUGGAGUAAUAGCCUACCAAGGCAAUGAUCUAUAGCUGAUCUGAGAGGAUGAUCAGCCACACUGGAACUGAGAUACGGUCCAGACUCCUACGGGAGGCAGCAGUGGGGAAUAUUGGACAAUGGGCGAAAGCCUGAUCCAGCCAUGCCGCAUGAGUGAAGAAGGCCUUUGGGUUGUAAAGCUCUUUUAGUGAGGAAGAUAAUGACGGUACUCACAGAAGAAGUCCUGGCUAACUCCGUGCCAGCAGCCGCGGUAAUACGGAGAGGGCUAGCGUUAUUCGGAAUUAUUGGGCGUAAAGGGCGCGUAGGCGGAUUAGUAAGUUAAAAGUGAAAUCCCAAGGCUCAACCUUGGAAUUGCUUUUAAAACUGCUAAUCUAGAGAUUGAAAGAGGAUAGAGGAAUUCCUAGUGUAGAGGUGAAAUUCGUAAAUAUUAGGAGGAACACCAGUGGCGAAGGCGUCUAUCUGGUUCAAAUCUGACGCUGAGGCGCGAAGGCGUGGGGAGCAAACAGGAUUAGAUACCCUGGUAGUCCACGCUGUAAACGAUGAAUGUUAAAUAUGGGAAGUUUUACUUUCUGUAUUACAGCUAACGCGUUAAACAUUCCGCCUGGGGACUACGGUCGCAAGAUUAAAACUCAAAGGAA
rnacentral:rRNA from 1 species